CCCUAUCAGCUUGUUGGGUAAUGGCUCACCAAGGCGACGACGGGCGGCCUGAGAGGGUCGGCCACACUGGGACUGAGACACGGCCCAGAUACGGGAGGCAGUGGGGAAUAUUGCACAAUGGGCGCUGAUGCAGCAACGCCGCGUGAGGGAUGACGGUCGGGUUGUAAACCUCUUUUAGUAGGGAAGGAAAGUGACGGUACCUGCAGAAAAAGCACCGGCUACGUGCCAGCAGCCGCGGUAAUACGUAGGCAAGCGUUGUCCGGAAUUAUUGGGCGUAAAGAGCUCGUAGGCGGUUCGCGUCUGCUGUGAAAUCCCGAGGCUCAACCUCGGGCUUGCAGUGGGUACGGGCAGACUAGGCGGUAGGGGAGAUUGGAAUUCCUGAGCGGUGGAAUGCGCAGAUAUCAGGAACACCGAUGGCGAAGAUCUCUGGGCCGUAACUGACGCUGAGGAGCGAAAGCGUGGGGAGCGAACAGGAUUGAUCUG
rnacentral:rRNA from 1 species